UACGAAGGGGGCUAGCGUUGUUCGGAUUUACUGGGCUUAAAGCGCACGUAGGCGGAGAUUUAAGUCAGGGGUGAAAUCCCGAGGCUCAACCGCGGAACUGCCUUUGAUACUGGGUUUCUUGAGGCCGGAAGAGGUGAGUGGAACUGCGAGUGUAGAGGUGAAAUUCGUAGAUAUUCGCAAGAACACCAGUGGCGAAGGCGGCUCACUGGUCCGGAACUGACGCUGAGGUGCGAAAGCGUGGGGAGCAAACAGG
rnacentral:rRNA from 1 species